rnacentral:piRNA from 1 species
UAAUAUUGGGCACAAUCCUCAAAUCAGGGCU